rnacentral:rRNA from 1 species
GAUGAACGCUGGCGGCGUGCCUAAUACAUGCAAGUCGAACGGAAAGACGAGGCUCUUGCUGGUCUCUCGUGAGGGGAGGAGGUGUGAGAAACACGUGUAUCCCCUCCCUGUAUGACUGGGAAAACUACGGGACACCGGAUAUAACACGGGAUAAUAUACUGAACCGCAUGGUUCAUUGGAAAGAGACGGCUUUGCGGGCACUAAUAGAGGGUUCCCCGCUGGUUUGGCUAGUUGGUACGGUAACGGCUUACGAAGGCAACGAUGCGUAGCCGACCUGAGAGAGGGAUCGGCCACACUGGAACUGAGACACGGACCAGACUACUACGAGAGGCAGCAGUAGGGAAUCUUCGGCAAUGGGCGAAAGCCUUACGCAGCAACGCCGCGUGAGUGAUGAAGGCCUUCGGAGCGUAAAGCUCUGUUAGGGGGGAAGAACAGAUGUGGAAGGAAACAAAGACGGCGUGACGGUAACGGAUCAAAAAGCAACGGCUAACUACGUG